rfam:Kibdelosporangium phytohabitans strain KLBMP1111, complete genome.
GGGUGAUUAGCUCAGCGGGAGAGCGCUCCGUUCACACCGGAGAGGUCACUGGUUCGAUCCCAGUAUUGCCCA